CACCGCCCGUCACACUAUAGGAGCUGGCCAUGUUUGAAGUCAUUACCCUUAACCGUAAGGAGGGGGAUGCCUAAGGCUAGGCUUGCGACUGGAGUGAAGUCGUAACAAGGUAGCCGUACUGGAAGGUGCGGCUG
rfam:Oryza sativa Indica Group scaffold000333 genomic scaffold, whole genome shotgun sequence.